rnacentral:rRNA from 1 species
GAUGAACGCUAGCUACAGGCUUAACACAUGCAAGUCGAGGGGAAACGAUAUUGGAAGCUUGCUUCCGAUAGGCGUCGACCGGCGCACGGGUGAGUAACGCGUAUCCAACCUGCCCACCACUUGGGGGUAACCUUGCGAAAGUAAGACUAAUACCCAAUGACGUCUCUAGAAGACAUCUGAAAGGGAUUAAAGAUUUAUCGGUGAUGGAUGGGGAUGCGUCUGAUUAGCUUGUUGGCGGGGUAACGGCCCACCAAGGCGACGAUCAGUAGGGGUUCUGAGAGGAAGGUCCCCCACAUUGGAACUGAGACACGGUCCAAACUCCUACGGGAGGCAGCAGUGAGGAAUAUUGGUCAAUGGACGAGAGUCUGAACCAGCCAAGUAGCGUGCAGGAUGACGGCCCUAUGGGUUGUAAACUGCUUUUAUAAGGGAAUAAAGUGAGAGUCGUGACUCUUUUUGCAUGUACCUUAUGAAUAAGGACCGGCUAAUUCCGUGCCAGCAGCCGCUGUAA